AACAUGUGAAUACAUAGCAUGUUUGAAGGCAUACCCGGAGAACUGAAACAUCUUAGUACCCGGAGGAAGAGAAAGAAAAAUCGAUUCCCUGAGUAGCGGCGAGCGAAACGGGAACAGCCCAAACCAACAAGCUUGCUUGUUGGGGUUGUAGGACACUCUAUACGGAGUUACAAAAGUUAUGGUUAGACGAAGUAUCUGGAAAGAUACAUCAAAGAAGGUAAUAAUCCUGUAGUCGAAAACGAUAACCCUCUUGAGUGGAUCCUGAGUACGACGGAGCACGUGAAAUUCCGUCGGAAUCUGGGAGGACCAUCUCCCAAGGCUAAAUACUCUCUAGUGACCGAUAGUGAACCAGUACCGUGAGGGAAAGGUGAAAAGUACCCCGGAAGGGGAGUGAAAGAGAACUUGAAACCGUGUGCUUACAAGUAGUCAGAGCCCGUUAAUGGGUGAUGGCGUGCCUUUUGUAGAAUGAACCGGCGAGUUACGAUUUGAUGCAAGGUUAAGCAGGAAAUGUGGAGCCGUA
rnacentral:rRNA from 1 species